GGGGGUAUAGCUCAGUUUCAGAGCAUGUGCUUUGCAUGCAUGAGGCCCUGGGUCCAAUCCCCAGUGCACAUA
rnacentral:tRNA from 1 species